rnacentral:rRNA from 1 species
UACAUGGGGUGCAAACGUUGCUCGGAAUUAUUGGGCGUAAAGCGCACGUAGGCGGUUUGUUAAGUCGGAUGUGAAAUCCCUCGGCUCAACUGAGGAAGUGCAUCCGAAACUGGCAGGCUUGAGUACUAAAGAGGGUCGCGGAAUUCCCGGUGUAGAGGUGAAAUUCGUAGAUAUCGGGAGGAACACCGGUGGCGAAAGCGGCUUCCUGGUCCAGCACCGACGUUCAGGCACGAAAGCGUGGGGAGCAAACAGGG